GACAGAGGUGCCAAGCGUUAGGCGGAAUCACUGGGCUUAAAGCGUGUGUAGGCGGAUGCCUAAGUACCUUGUGAAAAUCCCACGCUCACCCGUCGGAACUGCUGGGUAUACUGGGUGUCUUGAGCCAACUAGGGGUCGCCGGAACAAGUGGUGGAGCGGUGAAAUGCGUAGAUAUCAGGAGGAACACCUGUGGUGUAGACAGCUUACUGGACCACUUCUGACGCUGAGACACGAAAGCGUGGGUAGCAAACAGG
rnacentral:rRNA from 1 species